GCCUACGGGGCGCAGCAGUAGGGAAUCUUCCACAAUGGGCGAAAGCCUGAUGGGGCAACGCCGCGUGGGUGAAGAAGGUCUUCGGAUCGUAAAACCCUGUUGUUAGAGAAGAAAGUGCGUGAGAGUAACUGUUCACGUUUCGACGGUAUCUAACCAGAAAGCCACGGCUAACUACGUGCCAGCAGCCGCGGUAAUACGUAGGUGGCAAGCGUUAUCCGGAUUUAUUGGGCGUAAAGGGAACGCGGGCGGUCUUUUAAGUCUGAUGUGAAAGCCUUCGGCUUAACCGGAGUAGUGCAUUGGAAACU
rnacentral:rRNA from 1 species